rnacentral:rRNA from 1 species
GGUUAAGCGACUAAGCGUACACGGUGGAUGCCCUGGCAGUCAGAGGCGAUGAAGGACGUGCUAAUCUGCGAAAAGCGUCGGUAAGGUGAUAUGAACCGUUAUAACCGGCGAUGUCCGAAUGGGGAAACCCAGUGUGUUUCGACACACUAUCAUUAACUGAAUCCAUAGGUUAAUGAGGCGAACCGGGGGAACUGAAACAUCUAAGUACCCCGAGGAAAAGAAAUCAACCGAGAUUCCCCCAGUAGCGGCGAGCGAACGGGGAGGAGCCCAGAGCCUGAAUCAGUGUGUGUGUUAGUGGAAGCGUCUGGAAAGGCGCGCGAUACAGGGUGACAGCCCCGUACACAAAAAUGCACAUGCUGUGAGCUCGAUGAGUAGGGCGGGACACGUGGUAUCCUGUCUGAAUAUGGGGGGACCAUCCUCCAAGGCUAAAUACUCCUGACUGACCGAUAGUGAACCAGUACCGUGAGGGAAAGGCGAAAAGAACCCCGGCGAGGGGAGUGAAAAAGAACCUGAAACCGUGUACGUACAAGCAGUGGGAGCCCUGAUUUAUCAGGGUGACUGCGUACCUUUUGUAUAAUGGGUCAGCGACUUAUAUUCUGUAGCAAGGUUAACCGAAUAGGGGAGCCGGAGGGAAACCGAGUCUUAACUGGGCGUUAAGUUGCAGGGUAUAGACCCGAAACCCGGUGAUCUAGCCAUGGGCAGGUUGAAGGUUGGGUAACACUAACUGGAGGACCGAACCGACUAAUGUUGAAAAAUUAGCGGAUGACUUGUGGCUGGGGGUGAAAGGCCAAUCAAACCGGGAGAUAGCUGGUUCUCCCCGAAAGCUAUUUAGGUAGCGCCUCGUGAAUUCAUCUCCGGGGGUAGAGCACUGUUUCGGCAAGGGGGUCAUCCCGACUUACCAACCCGAUGCAAACUGCGAAUACCGGAGAAUGUUAUCACGGGAGACACACGGCGGGUGCUAACGUCCGUCGUGAAGAGGGAAACAACCCAGACCGCCAGCUAAGGUCCCAAAGUCAUGGUUAAGUGGGAAACGAUGUGGGAAGGCCCAGACAGCCAGGAUGUUGGCUUAGAAGCAGCCAUCAUUUAAAGAAAGCGUAAUAGCUCACUGGUCGAGUCGGCCUGCGCGGAAGAUGUAACGGGGCUAAACCAUGCACCGAAGCUGCGGCAGCGACACUGUGUGUUGUUGGGUAGGGGAGCGUUCUGUAAGCCUGCGAAGGUGUGCUGUGAGGUAUGCUGGAGGUAUCAGAAGUGCGAAUGCUGACAUAAGUAACGAUAAAGCGGGUGUGAAAAGCCCGCUCGCCGGAAGACCAAGGGUUCCUGUCCAACGUUAAUCGGGGCAGGGUGAGUCGACCCCUAAGGCGAGGCCGAAAGGCGUAGUCGAUGGGAAACAGGUUAAUAUUCCUGUACUUGGUGUUACUGCGAAGGGGGGACGGAGAAGGCUAUGUUGGCCGGGCGACGGUUGUCCCGGUUUAAGCGUGUAGGCUGGUUUUCCAGGCAAAUCCGGAAAAUCAAGGCUGAGGCGUGAUGACGAGGCACUACGGUGCUGAAGCGACAAAUGCCCUGCUUCCAGGAAAAGCCUCUAAGCAUCAGGUAACAUCAAAUCGUACCCCAAACCGACACAGGUGGUCAGGUAGAGAAUACCAAGGCGCUUGAGAGAACUCGGGUGAAGGAACUAGGCAAAAUGGUGCCGUAACUUCGGGAGAAGGCACGCUGAUAUGUAGGUGAAGCGACUUGCUCGUGGAGCUGAAAUCAGUCGAAGAUACCAGCUGGCUGCAACUGUUUAUUAAAAACACAGCACUGUGCAAACACGAAAGUGGACGUAUACGGUGUGACGCCUGCCCGGUGCCGGAAGGUUAAUUGAUGGGGUCAGCGCAAGCGAAGCUCUUGAUCGAAGCCCCGGUAAACGGCGGCCGUAACUAUAACGGUCCUAAGGUAGCGAAAUUCCUUGUCGGGUAAGUUCCGACCUGCACGAAUGGCGUAAUGAUGGCCAGGCUGUCUCCACCCGAGACUCAGUGAAAUUGAACUCGCUGUGAAGAUGCAGUGUACCCGCGGCAAGACGGAAAGACCCCGUGAACCUUUACUAUAGCUUGACACUGAACACUGGUCCUUGAUGUGUAGGAUAGGUGGGAGGCUUUGAAGUGUGGACGCCAGUCUGCAUGGAGCCGUCCUUGAAAUACCACCCUUUAAUGGCUGGUGUUCUAACGUGGGCCCGUAAUCCGGGUUGCGGACAGUGUCUGGUGGGUAGUUUGACUGGGGCGGUCUCCUCCUAAAGAGUAACGGAGGAGCACGAAGGUUGGCUAAUCCUGGUCGGACAUCAGGAGGUUAGUGCAAUGGCAUAAGCCAGCUUGACUGCGAGCGUGACGGCGCGAGCAGGUGCGAAAGCAGGUCAUAGUGAUCCGGUGGUUCUGAAUGGAAGGGCCAUCGCUCAACGGAUAAAAGGUACUCCGGGGAUAACAGGCUGAUACCGCCCAAGAGUUCAUAUCGACGGCGGUGUUUGGCACCUCGAUGUCGGCUCAUCACAUCCUGGGGCUGAAGUAGGUCCCAAGGGUAUGGCUGUUCGCCAUUUAAAGUGGUACGCGAGCUGGGUUUAGAACGUCGUGAGACAGUUCGGUCCCUAUCUGCCGUGGGCGCUGGAGAACUGAGGGGGGCUGCUCCUAGUACGAGAGGACCGGAGUGGACGCAUCACUGGUGUUCGGGUUGUCAUGCCAAUGGCACUGCCCGGUAGCUAAAUGCGGAAGAGAUAAGUGCUGAAAGCAUCUAAGCACGAAACUUGCCCCGAGAUGAUCUCCCUGAGACUUAGAGUCUCCUGAAGGAACGUUGAAGACGACGACGUUGAUAGGCCGGGUGUGUAAGCGCAGCGAUGCGUUGAGCUAACCGGUACUAAUGAACCGUGAGGCUUAACCUU